UGGAAGUUUGCUGGGGCCCCUUUGGCUGUGGCUCUCAACAUUAUAUCUUGCCCCUGGCUCCUUCCCCUCCCUCUCUCUGCUCUCUAGCUUUCCUAAACUAAUCAGCUUUCCUCUGCCGUGUCAUUCCACCAUGAUGCUCACCUCACCACAGGCCCAAAGCAAUGGAACCAGCUCACCAUUGACUGAAGCCUCUGAAACCAUGAGCCAAAACAAAUCUUUUCCCCUCUAAAUUGAUUUUUUUUUUUUUUAGGUAUUUGUGACAAAAAGCUAACAUCAUCUAAACCAAUUCAUACCAAGCCCAAGCCUCUAUUGAGCAGAACUACAAAAUAACAUGGCAAAGACGAGGAGGUGAACAACUGGGGCCAGAGGUUCAAUCUGCGUUGGAAGGGCUGCCAGGCCAAGGGAGGCAUGAGCCCAGAAGCAGGGAAACUUCCAGAGGCUGGGAAGUCCAAGGUCAAGUGGUAGAAGAUUCUGUGAAGAUCUUCCUGACUGAUGUCUUUUCACUGUAACUUCAUGUGUGAGAAGGGGUGAGGGAUCUCUCUGCAGCUAACUCCAGAGCCCUUGUGGCCUAAGCACCUCCUGAUACCAGCACUUUGCAGAUAAGCACCCAAGACCUCAUACAUGCUGGAUAAGUGCGCCACCACUGAGCUACAACCCCAGAACCCCCAAACCACAUAUGUGAUCCAAUUUUAAUGAAAUUUUCAGAGGAAGCAAACACAAAGAGACAGAAAAAUCAACGGUUGCUUGAAAAUAAAGAAGGGUUGCUGAUCAAUUGCGUAUAUGUGUAGAAGACACUGAGAGAACUUUUGGGUUUUUUAUAUCUUGGAAGGAUCAUAUUCUGAAUUGGGGUGAUGGUUGCACAAUUGUAUACAUUGACCAAGACUCGUCAAAUUGUUUCCUUAAAAUGGGUGAAUAUCACAGUAUAUAAAUUAUUCUCAAUAAAGAUAUUAAAAGAUAGAGAAAUGACAUUUUCACUGUGAGAGCCUAAGUAACACAUCCCUAACUAAGAUCAACAUCUCAAAUGCCACCCGUGGUGGACGCCAGGCUUUGGAAGACCCUGUUCAGAAUAUCCACUCCUGUUGGUCUUCUCUGUGUCUGGACCAGACCCCAAGAACAAACCACAAGGGCAAUUAUGGUGAUGAUAACCUUCCAGAGCCAGGCAUUGACUGCCAUUGUGUUUCUUGCACGGGGGCCCCAGAAAACGCCCUAUUU